rnacentral:rRNA from 1 species
CAGUCGCCGCGGUAAUACGUAGGGUGCAAGCGUUAAUCGGAAUUACUGGGCGUAAAGCGUGCGCAGGCGGCUAUGCGAGACAGAUGUGAAAGCCCCGGGCUCAACCUGGGAAUGGCAAUGGAUACUGGCGAGCUAGAGUGUGUCAGAGGAUGGUGGAAUUCCCGGUGUAGCGGUGAAAUGCGUAGAGAUCGGGAGGAACAUCAGUGGCGAAGGCGGCCAUCUGGGACAACACUGACGCUGAGGCACGAAAGCGUGGGGAGCAAACAGGAUUAGAUACCCCAGUAGUCCCUGUCUCUUAUAC